rnacentral:rRNA from 1 species
GACGAACGCUGGCGGCGUGCCUAAUACAUGCAAGUUGAGCGCUGAAGGUUGGUACUUGUACCAACUGGAUGAGCAGCGAACGGGUGAGUAACGCGGGGGGAAUCUGCCUUUGGGCGGGGGACAACAUUUGGAAACGAAUGCUAAUACCGCAUAAAAACUUUAAACACAAGUUUUAAGUUUGAAAGAUGCAAUUGCAUCACUCAAAGAUGAUCCCGCGUUGUAUUAGCUAGUUGGUGAGGUAAAGGCUCACCAAGGCGAUGAUACAUAGCCGACCUGAGAGGGUGAUCGGCCACAUUGGGACUGAGACACGGCCCAAACUCCUACGGGAGGCAGCAGUAGGGAAUCUUCGGCAAUGGACGAAAGUCUGACCGAGCAACGCCGCGUGAGUGAAGAAGGUUUUCGGAUCGUAAAACUCUGUUGGUAGAGAAGAACGUUGGUGAGAGUGGAAAGCUCAUCAAGUGACGGUAACUACCCAGAAAGGGACGGCUAACUACGUG